rnacentral:rRNA from 1 species
CUCCUACGGGAGGCUGCAGUAAGGAAUAUUGGUCAAUGGACGAAAGUCUGAACCAGCCAUGCCGCGUGAAGGAUGAAGGCCCUCUGGGUUGUAAACUUCUUUUAUAGGGGACGAAAAAAGGGAAUUCUUUCCCACUUGACGGUACUCUAGGAAUAAGCACCGGCUAACUCCGUGCCAGCAGCCGCGGUAAUACGGAGGGUGCAAGCGUUAUCCGGAUUCACUGGGUUUAAAGGGUGCGUAGGUGGGUCUGUAAGUCAGUGGUGAAAUCUCCGGGCUUAACCCGGAAACUGCCAUUGAUACUAUAGGUCUUGAAUUAUCUGGAGGUGAGCGGAAUAUGUCAUGUAGCGGUGAAAUGCUUAGAUAUGACAUAGAACACCGAUUGCGAAGGCAGCUCACUACGGAUCGAUUGACACUGAGGCACGAAAGCGUGGGGAUCAAACAGGAUUAGAUACCCUGGUAGUCCACGCCCUAAACGAUGGAUACUCGACAUUUGUGAUAUACUAUAAGUGUCUGAGCGAAAGCAUUA